rnacentral:rRNA from 1 species
GACGAACGCUGGCGGCGUGCUUAACACAUGCAAGUCGAACGGUGAAGCGCCUUCCUUUUUGGUGGGUGUGGAUGAGUGGCGAACGGGUGAGUAACACGUGAGUAACCUGCCCCCUUCUUCUGGAUAACCGCAUGAAAGUGUGGCUAAUACGGGAUAUUCUGGGUCUGUCGCAUGAUGGGUCUGGGAAAGAUAUUGUUUCGGUGGGGGAUGGGCUCGCGGCCUAUCAGCUUGUUGGUGGGGUGAUGGCCUACCAAGGCGGUGACGGGUAGCCGGCCUGAGAGGGUGGACGGUCACACUGGGACUGAGACACGGCACAGACUCCUACGGGAGGCAGCAGUGGGGAAUAUUGCACAAUGGGCGCAAGCCUGAUGCAGCGACGCCGCGUGAGGGAUGGAGGCCUGCGGGUUGUGAACCUCUUUCGCCAGUGAAGCAGGCCUGCCUCGUUUGUGGGUGGGUUGACGGUAGCUGGACAAGAAGCGCCGGCUAACUACGUG